AGCAUAUCAAUAAGCGGAGGAAAAGAAAAUAACAAUGAUUUCCCUAGUAACGGCGAGUGAAGAGGAAAGAGCUCAAAGUUGGAACCUGUUUGGCCUAGCUAAACCGGAUUGUAGACUGUAGAAGUGUUUUCCAGGCAAGCCGAGUAAAUAAGUCCUUUGGAACAGGGCAUCAUAGAGGGUGAGAAUCCCGUCUUUGGCUUGAGCAUUUGCCUUUUGUGAUACGCUUUCAAAGAGUCAGGUUGUUUGGGAAUGCAGCCUAAAUUGGGUGGUAAAUCUCACCUAAAGCUAAAUAUUGGCGAGAAACCGAUAGCGAACAAGUACCGUGAGGGAAAGAUGAAAAGAACUUUGAAAAGAGAGUUAAACAGUAUGUGAAAUUGUUAAAAGGGAACCGUUUGGAGCCAGACUGGCUUGUCUGUAAUCAAUCUAGGCUUCGGCCUGGAUGCACUUGCAGGCUAUGCCUGCCAACGACAAUUUGACUUGAGGGAAAAAACUAAGGGAAAUGUGGCCCACUUGUGGGUGUUAUAGUCCCUUAGAAAAUACCUUGGGUUGGAUUGAGGAACGCAGCGAAUGCUUUUUGGCGAGUUUUCCAGGAAGGUUUUCUGAGGUACUACGGUAUCAAGGUUGAUCUUUUUGGUUAUACUUCUAUUCGCUUAGGUUGUUGGCUUAAUGACUCUAAAUGACCCGUCUUGAAACACGGACCAAGGAGUCCACCAUUAGUGCGAGUAUUUGGGUGCCAAACCCAUAUGCGUAAGGAAACUGAUUGAUACGAAUCCAUUAAGGAGGCAGUAUCGUCCGGCGCUGACGUUUUAUACUGAAUUGACCGAGACAAAGCACUAAUGAUGGGACCCGAAAGAUGGUGAACUAUGCCUGAAUAGGGUGAAGCCAGAGGAAACUCUGGUGGAGGCUCGUAGCGAUUCUGACGUGCAAAUCGAUCGUCAAAUUUGGGUAUAGGGGCGAAAGACUAAUCGAACCAUCUAGUAGCUGGUUCCUGCCGAA
rnacentral:rRNA from 1 species